GCAGCUGCUCCAGUGCACCUCCGCGGUGGCCCGAAGGGGCGACAGCUCCUCCACGUGCCGCGACCACUCCUUUCUGGCAACUAGUUAGGCUUGGGAUCCCCCAAUGGAUUUUUUUACUAGUUUGUUUUCUGAUUUUGCUGUGACUUGAAAAAUGUGAAGUUCCCAAAAACUAAAAGUGAUCAAAUUUGAAAGGCUGAGAAAAGGAAAAAAUGAGAAAAGUGGGAUAUUUUUUAGAUAACUCUGAAAUUCGUUGCAUAGAGCUUCAAUUUUUUUUAUCUACAAACUUAUAUAGGAUAGAACUUCCAAUUAUUCAUCAGAUAGAACUCCCAAAGGAAUUUUGGUUCGUCUGAAAUGGAACUCAAAAGAAAUUAAAAGCUCAAAAUUUUAAAAUUCGUUCAAGAGUAACUCAAAAAAUGGAAGGUUCGUGUCAUAUGAAUUGAAAGCUCACCGAUUAUAAAAUUGAAAGGUCCUCUGGAUAAUAUUGAAGCUCAUCUCGAAGGAUUUUUAAUGAAAAUGGAAAGCUCAUCUUUAAGAAUAAUUUGAAAGCUCAAAUAAAAGGAUUUCAAAGCUCGCCCUCACAAAGAUGAAAACUCUUGUCGAAGAUAUUGAAGCGCAUCUCGAACAAAUCCAAACAAAAAGAAAGAUCAAAAAUAAAAUAAAAAGAGAUCCGAUGUAAAAAAUAUUGAUACGUCAGCUCAAUGGAACUCUAAAAAUGGAAAGGUUAAAGUCAUCUAGGGAACUAAAAAAACAAAACUUGUCUCAAACGAAAUGAAAUGGUCAUCGCAAAUUUCUUGAAAUCUUGUCAUCCAAAGAAUUGAAAAGGUAUGUGAAAAAUAUUGACGAAGCACAUCACUACAAGAAAAGUGAGAUACUAUGACCAAAAUCCGUAUGACAAUGGUUGUAAGCGUCACAUAAACUUGUAAUGUAACGGUUUACACCCAGCAUCAUGGUUUCCUAUAAAUAUGUGACGCUAGCAGAAUCACCGUCACGCACUACAAUCAUGCAUUACCAUGUUUUACGACGGAUACGGUUACGUCCAUGACGAACGUGGUAGCAUCACGGAGCAUUUGAAUCGGUGACACUCAUAUUUUGUCAUUCAACAUGUAUCAGAGGAUCAAUCCAUGACUGAGAGUCCCACGUUGUAAAUAAAUAAAGUGGUUAUUUGGUGUUGAUU
rnacentral:lncRNA from 1 species